rnacentral:rRNA from 1 species
AGUCGAGCGGUAACAGAAAGUAGCUUGCUACUUUGCUGACGAGCGGCGGACGGGUGAGUAAUGCUUGGGAACAUGCCUUGAGGUGGGGGACAACAGUUGGAAACGACUGCUAAUACCGCAUAAUGUCUACGGACCAAAGGGGGCUUCGGCUCUCGCCUUUAGAUUGGCCCAAGUGGGAUUAGCUAGUUGGUGAGGUAAUGGCUCACCAAGGCGACGAUCCCUAGCUGGUUUGAGAGGAUGAUCAGCCACACUGGGACUGAGACACGGCCCAGACUCCUACGGGAGGCAGCAGUGGGGAAUAUUGCACAAUGGGCGCAAGCCUGAUGCAGCCAUGCCGCGUGUGUGAAGAAGGCCUUCGGGUUGUAAAGCACUUUCAGUCAGGAGGAAAGGUUAGUAGUUAAUACCUGCUAGCUGUGACGUUACUGACAGAAGAAGCACCGGCUAACUCCGUGCCAGCAGCCGCGGUAAUACGGAGGGUGCGAGCGUUAAUCGGAAUUACUGGGCGUAAAGCGUACGCAGGCGGUUUGUUAAGCGAGAUGUGAAAGCCCCGGGCUCAACCUGGGAACUGCAUUUCGAACUGGCAAACUAGAGUGUGAUAGAGGGUGGUAGAAUUUCAGGUGUAGCGGUGAAAUGCGUAGAGAUCUGAAGGAAUACCGAUGGCGAAGGCAGCCACCUGGGUCAACACUGACGCUCAUGUACGAAAGCGUGGGGAGCAAACGGGAUUAGAUACCCCGGUAGUCCACGCCGUAAACGAUGUCUACUAGAAGCUCGGAACCUCGGUUCUGUUUUUCAAAGCUAACGCAUUAAGUAGACCGCCUGGGGAGUACGGCCGCAAGGUUAAAACUCAAAUGAAUUGACGGGGGCCCGCACAAGCGGUGGAGCAUGUGGUUUAAUUCGAUGCAACGCGAAGAACCUUACCUACACUUGACAUACAGA